UGCAAGUCGAACGGUAACAGGGAGCUUGCUCCGCUGACGAGUGGCGAACGGGUGAGUAAUAUAUCGGAACGUGCCCAAGAGUGGGGGAUAACGUAGCGAAAGUUACGCUAAUACCGCAUACGAUCUAAGGAUGAAAGUGGGGGAUCGCAAGACCUCAUGCUCCUGGAGCGGCCGAUAUCUGAUUAGCUAGUUGGUGAGGUAAAGGCUCACCAAGGCGACGAUCAGUAGCUGGUCUGAGAGGACGACCAGCCACACUGGAACUGAGACACGGUCCAGACUCCUACGGGAGGCAGCAGUGGGGAAUUUUGGACAAUGGGGGCAACCCUGAUCCAGCAAUGCCGCGUGAGUGAAGAAGGCCUUCGGGUUGUAAAGCUCUUUUGUCAGGGAAGAAAAGGGUACGGCUAAUAUCCGUGCCUCAUGACGGUACCUGAAGAAUAAGCACCGGCUAACUACGUGCCAGCAGCCGCGGUAAUACGUAGGGUGCAAGCGUUAAUCGGAAUUACUGGGCGUAAAGCGUGCGCAGGCGGUUUUGUAAGUCUGUCGUGAAAUCCCCGGGCUUAACCUGGGAAUGGCGAUGGAGACUGCAAGGCUAGAGUUUGGCAGAGGGGGGUAGAAUUCCACGUGUAGCAGUGAAAUGCGUAGAGAUGUGGAGGAACACCGAUGGCGAAGGCAGCCCCCUGGGUCAAGACUGACGCUCAUGCACGAAAGCGUGGGAAGCAAACAGGAUUAGAUACCCUGGUAGUCCACGCCCUAAACGAUGUCUACUAGUUGUUGGGUCUUAAUUGACUUAGUAACGCAGCUAACGCGUGAAGUA
rnacentral:rRNA from 1 species